rnacentral:rRNA from 1 species
ACUGUGAAGGAAAGGUGAAAAGCACUUCGAACAGAAGAGUGAAAUAGUCCCUGAACCCAUACGCCUACAAGCAGUCGGAGCCGCUUCGUGCGGUGACGGCGUGCCUUUUGCAUAAUGAGCCUACGAGUUACUCAUCACCAGCGAGGUUAAGUACUUCAGGUACGUAAGCCGAAGCGAAAGCGAGUCUGAAUAGGGCGUCAAGUUGGUGGUGGUAGACGCGAAACCUUAGUGAUCUACCCAUGGGCAGGGUGAAGGUUUGGUAACACAAACUGGAGGCCCGAACCGGUAAACGUUGAAAAGUUUUCGGAUGACCUGUGGGUAGGGGUGAAAGGCCAAUCAAACUGGGAAAUAGCUCGUACUCUCCGAAAUGCAUUUAGGUGCAGCCUCUGUUGUUUUGUUCUAGAGGUAGAGCUACUGAUUGGAUGCGAGGGCUUCACCGCCUAUCAAAUCCGGCCAAACUCCGAAUGCUAGAACAUGAAGACAGGGAGUGAGCCAGCGGGUGCUAAGGUCCGUUGACGAAAGAGGGAGAACUCAGACCAUCAGCUAAGGUCCCCAAUUGUAUGCUAAGUUGGAAUUAAAACGGGGUGGGACUGCUUAGACAGCUAGGAUGUUGGCUUGGAAGCAGCCAUUCAUUUAAAGAGUGCGUAACAGCUCACUAGUCGAGCGGUCCUGCAUGGAUAAUACGCGGGCAUAAGCAUAUAACCGAAGCUAUGGGAUUGUAGAUGAUACAAUCGGUAGGAGAGCAUUCCAUUCAGCAUAGAAGCAGUAUCGUGAGGUAUUGUGGAGCGGAUGGAAAAGCAAAUGUAGGCAUAAGUAACGAUAAUGCGGGUGAGAACCCCGCACGCCGAAAGAUCAAGGAUUCCCCGGCAAUGUCAAUCAUCCGGGGGUAAGUCGGAUCCUAAGGGUAAGCCGAGUGGCGAUCCCGAUGGCAAACAGGUUAAUAUUCCUGUACUGAUCAUAACUGCGAUGCAGCGACGCAGAGGUGACACUGCUGCGUACUGACGGAAUAGUACGUUGAAACCCGUAUUCUUUGAUACCGGUAGUGAAGCACGCCGGUAGAGAUGAAAGGUGAUAGUACCGCAAUGCUUCGGUUGCGCGGAUAAUGCAGGUAAGCUGACUGCCAAGAAAACCUGCUAAGCUUCAGGUAAUGAUCAUCCGUACUGUAAACGGACACACGUGAUCAGGUAGAAAAUACUAAGGCGCUCGAGAGAUUCAUGGUUAAGGAACUAGGCAAAAUGGUCCUGUAACUUCGGGAUAAAGGACGCUCUUGUGAAAGAGCCGCAGAUAAUAGGCCCAGGCGACUGUUUACCAAAAACACAUGGCUAUGCUAAUUCGCAAGAAGAUGUAUAUGGCCUGACACCUGCCCGGUGCCGGAAGGUUAAGAGGAGAGCUCAGAGGUAACUCGAAGGUUUGAAUUGAAGCCCCGGUAAACGGCGGCCGUAACUAUAACGGUCCUAAGGUAGCGAAAUUCCUUGUCGGGUAAGUUCCGACCUGCACGAAUGGUGUAACGAUCUGGGUACUGUCUCAACCAUGAGCUCGGUGAAAUUGUAGUUCCGGUGAAGAUGCCGGAUACCCGCAACGGGACGGAAAGACCCCGUGAACCUUUACUGCAGCUUUGCAUUGAUUUUGGGUAACAGAUGUGUAGGAUAGGUCGGAGGCUUUGAUGCUGCGUCGUCAGGCGUAGAGUAGCCGUCGUUGAAAUACGACCCUUUUGUUAUCUGAGGUCUAAUCCCGUUAGGGAGACAUUGCAUGGUGGGUAGUUUGACUGGGGUGGUCGCCUCCAAAAGUGUAACGGAGGCUUCUCAAGGUACCCUCAAGGCGUUUGGUAAUCGUCUGCAGAGUGCAAUGGCAUAAGGGUGCUUGACUGUGAGACCGACACGUCGAUCAGGUUGGAAACAAGAGCAUAGUGAUCCGGUGGUUCCGCAUGGAAGGGCCAUCGCUCAAAGGAUAAAA